rnacentral:rRNA from 1 species
UACGUAGGUGGCAAGCGUUGUCCGGAUUUACUGGGCGUAAAGAGCGCGCAGGCGGCUGGUCAAGUCCGAUGUGAAAUCUCCCGGCUUAACUGGGAGGGUGCGCCGAAGACUGGAAGGCUUGAGUAUGGGAGAGGUAAGCGGAAUUCCUGGUGUAGCGGUGAAAUGCGUAGAUAUCAGGAGGAACACCUGCGGUGUAGACGGCUUACUGGACCAUCACUGACGCUGAGGCACGAAAGCGUGGGUAGCAAACAGG